rnacentral:rRNA from 1 species
GUCAAAUCAUCAUGCCCCUUAAACUCUGGGCUACACACGUACUACAAUGGCGCAGAAACAACGGGAAGCGAAGCCGCGAGGCGGAGCAAAUCCCCAAAAGGCGCCCCAGUUCAGAUUGCAGGCUGCAACCCGCCUGCAUGAAGUCGGAAUUGCUAGUAAUCGCGAAUCAGAAUGUCGCGGUGAAUACGUUCCCGGGCUUU